rnacentral:lncRNA from 10 species
GAGAACCAGGAGCCACAGCCGCGGCUCACGCCCCACCGCAACAUUAAGAUUACAAGUGGACACCUGAGUCAGCAGGACCUGGAAUCCCAGAUGAGAGAGCUUAUCUACACGACUCAGAUCUUGUUGUCACCCCCAUUAUUGACAAUCCAAAGGUGCAGAAAGCACUCUGACAAAUAAUGAAACAACCACCAUCGGUUAAAUUUGAUGCAAAAAUAUUGCAUCUACCAGCAUUUUCAGUUCCAAUUGCUAAUCCAGCAUUUGUGGAUAGCUGCAAACUGUGAUAUAUGGGCCAAGGUUGCUCGGGUGAUUGGUUUACUGGCUUCGCACAAAACUGAUCUCCAGGAAAAUACACCUGUUGUUGAGGCCUUCCCUAACAGUCCCAGAACUCCUACAUUGCCUGGUGUGCUGACCUAAAGCCCUCAUUAAGACCAGUAACAAAUCAAGCCUAUCUUAUCAACUGACAACACAUUCUGGAACCAUGGCGUGUCCAUGGAUAAGACAUGAAGUCCUUCUUUCAAGACUUGGUUUUCUGGUACUGGAAAAUACCAAUAUGGAUAAAAGACCUUCAAAGCUGCUACGAUGGGUAAGGAACAAUGCACACAGUAUACCAUUAAGGCAAAGAAGAUAGUCUUAAUCCUGUAUGAAAUGCCAAUGAAGAUGUAAUUAAUGAAUAGACAUUUCAUUGAAAUGAAAUCAAAAGACAUUUUCCUUCUCUGACAUAACAGAGUAGAACUCUCUAGUAAGAACACAAAACUGACCAGCCUGACCAAUGUGAUAAAACCCCCUGUCUCUACUAAAAAGACAAAAAUUAGCCAUGCAUGGUAGCAGAUGCUUGUAAUCCCAGCUACUCAAGAGGCUCAGGCAUGAGAAUCUCUUGAACCCAAAAGGUGGAGGCUGCAGUGAGUCGAGAUCGCACAACUGCACUUCACCCUGGGCGACAAAGCAAGACUUUGUUUUUU